UAAUUGACAACAAUGUCGUCUAAUGGAGAAUUGGGUCAUGCAAAAAUGCAAGUGGGAUAAAGACAACGAGUGAGAUGUUUCUUUCAGAAUGAAAAGUCUUUUGCUUAUUUUAUCCUAUGUAGUAAUAUCCCAACUCAAUCUCAUCCGUCCUUGUUGGAUUUUUAUCUUCCAUCGCACAACUUUGGUAAAAGAAAAUAUACAUACACCUACAUAAGUGUAUGUUUCUCAAUAACAUUAUACUAUUAUUCGUGUUGGGAAAAAUCAAGUUGGCUUAACUAAUUAAAUCCAGUGGGGGUGGUAACUAAAAAUAUGGCCUAACUUAGGCCACCUUAGCAAAACUAAUUAAAUAUAGUGUUAAAUUAAGGUCCUUUAAUUUAAAUUAAUUAAUGCGUGGCUCCCUCCUGACUUCUUACAUUUAAAUAAGAAUAUGACAUAAAGCGUGAGAUAUGUUUAAUCAACUCACUGGGCACCUAAAUUUUCAGAAUCGUCAUUGCAAGCCUAAUUCACGUGAUUAUAUUAGUUCUUGAUCAAAUCAGCAACUUAUAUAUUAAAAUUAGUUCCAAGUUUCUAUAUGUUAUAUGGUUGAUGGGAUUUUUUUUUUUUUUACAGUUAGCAUAUAUUUUGAAUAAAUUUACCAUUUUGGCAUAUUUUAUAGUUAAUUAACUCUUUAUCUUCCUGUAAGUUUACACCGUUUUUAUCAACUAAGAGAUGAUUUGCUGGAAACUGCUUUAAGCUAUAUUUUAUUUUUUAGAAAAGAUGAUUUGUUGGCAAAAUAUCUUUUUUAGCAACACAACAUAUUGAUUGGUGGAAACUGCUUUAAGCUUUUCCAUUACCCGAAUAUGAUUGUUUUGAAAAAAAAGAAAAAAAAAACACAAAUUAGAAAGUAAGGCAUAUAUAAUAUAUCACUAAAACAACCUCUGGUGAACUUUAGUAAAUAUGAUUGACCAAGAUUAAUAAAACAGAGUUUGAUCAGAAACCUAACUAUAUAGUAUUUAAGAUUUGCCUGUUUUAUAAAGACUUUAAACUGUUUUAGUCACUCUCCAAAAUAGUAAUUUUUGGAACAAACAGUUUUUAAAAGCCAGAUAUGACAAGGAGAUCCUUUAAAAUGACGCCAAUUCGUCAAGCUUAAGUUAUAAUUUUUAAUUUGCCAGUUUAGGCUGUCCUAAGAUAGAGUAGUAGGUAUUCUAAUUAAUAUUGUAGAAUAAUGGUGAGUAAUUAACAAAUACUAAAAAUACA
rnacentral:lncRNA from 1 species